ACUACCGUUUACAUUUGGAGAACACUGCAGCUUGUUCAGGUAGGGGAACUCUUAAACAGUCUAUACGCGGGGCUAAACUCUCACAUGACCUUCUUAACGCCCUGAAGUGUAAAAUCAACGCACCCUCCUACAGUAUGGCGGUCCAUUUAAACGUAAUGUAGGUCUGUAGAGCUGCUCUUUAGCUAACUUUACUGUAACUUCCUGCUCGUCCACAACCAGUGUCACCUGUGGACAGACUCUAUGUCACCUGUGGACAGACUCCAUGUCACCUGUGGACAGACUCCAUGUCACCUGUGGACAGACUCCAUGUCACCUGUGGACAGACUCCAUGUUGCUUCAGAAUGACUUUGUGGAGGAGAUGUGUUUGGCGCCAUCAGCUGUCCUUCAUGGUGUUUCCUUUAAAACCAAAGCAGAAGUUAUGUGGGCAGCCUGGAAACUCUCACUCCAACCUUCCCCUGAGAUAUUUCACAAUGUGUCAGGCAUAAAUCAUCACGGUGAGGAUGAGAACCAGCCUCUUGCAGCUCCUCGAGACACUCGGGGACAAACAGACUCAUGCUGUAUGAGAACUGGAGAUAAUUUGAUCUGAGAGCGGUUCACCUGGGAGAGCUGGCUGUUCAGACUGCGGGAGGAUUUGUGAACUGGCUCUAAGGCAA